rnacentral:lncRNA from 1 species
GUUUAGACAGACCAAGCUCUUAUAUGUUAUUUAUUUGUUUCAUCUUUAAUCAAUGUGAUAUACUGUCUAACUUAAGUCUUAGACUCUGUUUGGCAAAAAAAAAAAUUAUAAAUGAUUUUUAAAUUCGGUUAAAUUCAAAAGUUAAUUUCAACCACACAUUCAUUAUUACUACUCAUUAUUAUUCAUAAAUUUUGCAGGACUCACUACUAUUUCUGUUUACUAUUCCAAUUCAGCAACUAUUUAUCAAUUUGCUAAAUGGAGGCUUAAUCGUGGAAUUUAACCACUUGGCCACUUUCUCCUAGCAAGCUAGUUUUAAGAGUGAGUCGUGCCUUGUGUAGUUGUAACAAUUGGUAUCAUAGCAAGCAUUGUUCUACUCAAGAUCCUCACUGCAGACGAGGUGACUUGUGGAGGGCGACUUUCACCAGAAGGUUGGUUUAGUGAUGUCAUCUAGUUGAAAAUAUGGGUUACCAAGAACUCUAAUUCUAGUGUGUCGGAUUGUAAUGACUCUUUUCAACGUAUUGUGUUUCAUAUUUUCAACGUAUGGCCAUUUAACCAAUAACUGCCAACAAAUGGUACAAAACAUUAAGAUAUGCUCAUUUCUGACUACUCAUCUGUCCACUACAGAAUACUGGUUUAAGUGCACCAUUUCUAGGGAAAAUUAAGCAUUGUUUUCCUCUUCAAUUUCUUUGACAAAAUGGUUUUAGACCUACAA